UACGUAGGGUCCGAGCGUUGUCCGGAAUUAUUGGGCGUAAAGAGCUCGUAGGCGGUCUGUCACGUCGGCUGUGAAAUCCCGAGGCUCAACCUCGGGUCUGCAGUCGAUACGGGCAAACUAGAGUAUUGCAGGGGAGACUGGAAUUCCUGGUGUAGCGGUGAAAUGCGCAGAUAUCAGGAGGAACACCGGUGGCGAAGGCGGGUCUCUGGGCAGUAACUGACGCUGAGGAGCGAAAGCGUGGGGAGCGAACAGG
rnacentral:rRNA from 1 species